rnacentral:rRNA from 1 species
GGAAGUUAUUAGAAUCAAACAAGCCAUGCAAGACAGACGGCCUUUAUGGCCCUUAGGUCUGGAAUACCCUUGCCUAACUGAGGGUAAAACCGGAUAAAUAACUCCAACUGGAAGGUGUUGUUAUCUAAAAGCAAUGCCUAAGGAUAAGUUGGCGGCUGAUUAGUUUGUUGGUAGUGUAAAGAACUACCAAGGCUACAAUCAGUAGGGGCCGUGAAAGCGGCACCCCCAAGAAGGGUACUGAAACACUGACCCUACCCCUACGGGGUGCAGCAGGCGCAAAACCUUUACAAUGCACGUAAUUGUGAUAAGGGGAUUCCUAGUGCUCAUGCAUUAUUAUGGUUUUUUGCCAAAAGUAAAUAUCUGGACAAAUAAUUGGGGGGAAAAACGGGUGCCACCCGCCGCGGUACCACCUGCGCCACGAGUGGCAAUCGCUUUUAUUGGGCCUAAAGCGUUCGUAGCCGGAUUGAUCAUUCUUGGGUAAAAUCGUUCCGCUUAACAAAACGGCGUGCUUAAAAUACUGUCAUUCUAAAGACCGGGAGGCGUUAAAGGUAUUCAAGGGGGAGCGGAAAAUUGUUGUAUUCCCUCGAGAACCACCUGUGACGAAGGCUUCUAACAAGAACGGUUCUGACGAUGAGGAACGAAAGCUAGGGAACCAAACCGAAUUAAAUACCCAAGUAUUCCUAGCCGUAACCGCUGUGUACUAGAUGUUGCAUAAUCUUCAUGGUUAUGCAGUGGCGGACCGAAGGCGUUAAUUCCCCCCCCUGGUUAGAACGGCCGCAAGGAUAAAACUCAAA